CGCAGAUUCACCAACGCAACACGCAGUACUACCCGACUGCAGGCACAUCCACCGUCCACGGGUAUACACGCAACAAAGAAACCGGAAGCACCGGUUUCACACUUCCAGUGGCCAGCAACGCGGGCACGCAGGAAGCAACGGGCAUUCCAGCAAAAGAUGCUAGAAUUCCUGACGCCACCGGCGCUGAGCCAUGGAGUACGCAGUACUACGCGGCUCGUGGCACAACAGUCUACGGU